rnacentral:pre_miRNA from 1 species
AGCUGAAUUGCUGGGUCAUAUGGUAAUUCUGUUUAACUUUCUAAGGAACUGCCAGUUUUCCAAAAUGGCUGCACCAUUUUACAUUCCUUCAAGCAGU